ACGUAGGGGGCCAGCGUUGCUCGGAAUAACUGGGCGUAAAGGGUUCGUAGGCGGUGUGGCAAGUCGGGAGUGAAAUCCUGAGGCUUAACUUCAGGACUGCUACCGAAACUGCCAUGCUGGAGUGCGGGAGAGGCGAGUGGAAUUGCAGGUGUAGCGGUGAAAUGCGUAGAUAUCUGCAGGAACACCAGUGGCGAAAGCGGCUCGCUGGACCGCAACUGACGCUGAGGAACGAAAGCUAGGGGAGCAAACAGGAUUAGAUACCCUGGUAGUCCUAGCCCUAAACGAUCAGAACUUGGGGUGGGCCCCUUUCGGGGUUCGUCCCGGAGCUAACGCGUUAAGUUCUGCGCCUGGGGAGUACGGUCGCAAGGCUG
rnacentral:rRNA from 1 species